rnacentral:misc_RNA from 1 species
GAUGAAGAACGCAGCGAAAUGCGAUACGUAAUGUGAAUUGCAGAUUUCAGUGAAUCAUCGAAUCUUUGAACGCACAUUGCGCCCGCUAGUAUUCUGGCGGGCAUGCCUGUUCGAGCGUCAUUUCAACCAUCAAGCCCUAGGCUUGCGUUGGAGCCCUGCGGCUGCCGCAGGCUCCCAAAUCCAGUGGCGGGCUCGUCGUCGUACCGAGUGCAGUAAACAUCCUCGCUCAGGGAACGUGACGGGUUCUUGCCGUGAAACCCCCCACAUAUCAAGGUUGACCUCGGAUCAGGUAGGAAUACCCGCUGAACUUAAGCAUAUCAAUAAGCGGACGA